rnacentral:ribozyme from 13 species
GAAAUACAAAGAAACACAAAAAAAAGCCAAACAAAAUCAUUGAUAUCUCUAUUUGUGCCUUUUUUUUUUUUUUUUUUUUUUUUU